rnacentral:rRNA from 1 species
CCUACGGGUGGCAGCAGUGAGGAAUAUUGGUCAAUGGGCGAGAGCCUGAACCAGCCAAGUCGCGUGAAGGAUGACGGCCCUACGGGUUGUAAACUUCUUUUGUCAGGGAGCUAUUGAGUCCACGUGUGGUCUUAGCGCGAGUACCCUAAGAAAAAGCAUCGGCUGACUACGUGCCAGCAGCCGCGGUACUCCGGAGGAUUCGAGCGUUAUCCUGAUUGCUUGGGUUUAAAGGUUGCGUAGGCGGAAUACCAAGUCAGCGGUAAAACUUCGGGGCCAAACCCCGUCGUGCCGUUGAAACUGAUGUUCUAGAGUGGGCGAGAAGUAGGCGGAAUGCGUGGUGUAGCGGUGAAAU